rnacentral:lncRNA from 1 species
UAUGUGCUUAUGAUUCUGAUGGAUUCAUCAUAUUUGCUGCACUGUAUGCCUGUAUGUAGCACAUUUCCUUGAUGCACAAAACUGUACCAGUCUUGUUAUUAGUCUAUAAGAUUAUUACUGAUCUGUGCAAACUGGUGAUUGUUGAGCCAGCAUGCCACAUUGCAGUGCUAGGAUAUUUUGCUAUAUUUUUUGUAUGCCUAUCACUACUGCAUAAACAACUAAAUAAACAAAUGGACAGAUAAAUGAAAGAUCACUACUGC